CUACGGGAGGCAGCAGUGGGGAAUAUUGCACAAUGGGCGCAAGCCUGAUGCAGCCAUGCCGCGUGUAUGAAGAAGGCCUUCGGGUUGUAAAGUACCUUCAGCGGGGAAGAAGGGAGUAAAGUUAAUACCUUUGCUCAUUGACGUUACCCGCAGAAGAAGCACCGGCUAACUCCGUGCCAGCAGCCGCGGUAAUACGGAGGGUGCAAGCGUUAAUCGGAAUUACUGGGCGUAAAGCGCACGCAGGCGGUUUGUUAAGUCAGAUGUGAAAUCCCCGGGCUCAACCUGGGAACUGCAUCUGAUACUGGCAAGCUUGAGUCCCGUAGAGGGGGGUAGAAUUCCAGGUGUAGCGGUGAAAUGCGUAGAGAUCUGGAGGAAUACCGGUGGCGAAGGCGGCCCCCUGGACGAAGACUGACGCUCAGGUGCGAAAGCGUGGGGAGCAAACAGGAUUAGAUACCCUUGUAGUC
rnacentral:rRNA from 1 species